AUGGUUUAUUAUUUUCUUCUUUUCUUCAUUAUGGCUGUACGACGUCUCGGGCUGAUAAUGUUGUGCUUAUAUGAUCCUUGGACAAGAUUUGUCCCUUUAUGGAGUACUGAGUGCUAGGCCAAACCGCGGCAGCCUACAGGUCUCCUCUGACUCGCAGCAUCAGCCAUACAGGUUGUCCCAGGAGCUUUUCCUGUCAGCAGAUGGGGGGCUUCCCAGAGACUCUAAAGCUCCAAGGAUGGCAGUUGGGAAGUCAAUUGGAAGCAGACAGGCUGUUUACAUCUAGCAAUGACAUAGCCUGAUCACCAAGCCACCGAGGUCAUCAUGAGAGAAGCAUUUUGGACGACUUAAUGUUCUAGUGAUCCAGAGGGAGAUACGGCACACAGGAGAUCAUGAAGUUGAGAACCAAGCAAUUCCGUUUUCUAUCAUCAUUCAGUGAUUUCUACUCUAUUUUCUAACAAUCAACCUUUUGACAUAUGGAAGACAAGUAACUUGGCUUCCACAACUUGUAAAUCAAAGAGGAGAAGGAGAAGUGGCUAUGCCCGGAACAUUCCACCCCAAGAGAUUUGACACUGAUCCAAGAGCUGCCUGUUAAAAGCUAAGAUUUGUUGUAAGGUCACUCAAGAAAUGCAUCCUAAAACCAAUGUGAAGCGGCAUGGUGCUGCAUUGCUGUUCCAUGACCAAUUCCUGUCCACGCCGUGUAGUUUUAACUAUCUGGAAAGAUGUCUAAUGUACAGUAAGUAGUAUAUGCAAUCAGAUCUCUCCUACAGAUGGAGUGCAGUCAGGAAAAUAGACCUACUAGCUCUUCAUGCCAAAUAUUAUACAUCAUAGAAUUAAAAAAAAAAAAAAAAAAAAAAAAAAGCUCUUAUGUACUGUAUAUAUCCUUCAUUUAGUGCAAACUUUAAAAUUUUGACCACAUUCUGACACCUCAAACUCCCGUUUUCUGGAGAACAGAACCUCACCCUUCAACUCAGUAUACGUAUUAUUCUCAGGGUAUUGAAUCAAUCGCAAUUGGACUUUGAUGGUUGUCUUGGAAGAUGUUUUGCCUCUGGUGCAAGCUGUGUUUCCACACCAAAUCCCAGGCGAGUGUUGACCUAACUACACCUUAUUGCAUGAACUGAUGAAUCCUGCUCAAUGAGAGGUGAAACAUCAAGACAAGACAACCAGAAAAGUCCAGUUGUGAUCGAGCCAAGGCCCUGAAAAUGAAAUGAUCUGGAUGAAUGAGAAUAUUCACAAGCUUCUACAUGUCCUAAUUUCCUGAGUCAUGGGCUCAUCAGACCUACUUUUUCUUUCUUUCCUUUAUCUUACCCAAACAGGUGGUGUUAUGUUUCUUCGCUGUAAUUAAAAUAAUGCAAAUGGCUUAAUCCUGUAAGCGCAAUCCCUGUUUCUUUCUUAACAAAGAUUCACUUUCUAUGUAAUGAAAUUAGGUAGUUUUGCUCAAAUGAAGCCAGCAGAUUUCUUCCUUUCCCUCCAGAGAGGAAGAUAUGACGGUUAGUCACUGCGGUACAAAAAUGAUCCAAGAAAUUCAGUAGUUGAAGCACUGAAGGUAAAGAAUGUAUAAACUUUGUGGUGCAAUGGAUAUUUUAGCCAUUUGCAAUAUGUAUAUGCAAUCCACCACACUGCCGACUACAUGGUAAGAUUUUAAUUGCCAUCUUUUGGCGAGUAUAAUCAUAAUGCAAAUACGGUACUGUAGUUUUAGUUGGGUUGUUUUGUCAUGUACUUACUUUUGAAAACCAUCCAAAUAUAGAAAAAAAAACAGAAAAAGUCUGAAAACAGCAGGGAAAUGUCAUAUGAGUAAAAAUGAUAUUUCAGAGAAACUGAUUACAUGUGACGGGCACUAAAUGUGUUGCUAAACAACAAUGUGCUUCUUCGAAGUGUCAAAGCAUCUGACCUCCAUGUGAACAUCUGAUUGUGCAAAGUA